rnacentral:rRNA from 1 species
UACAGAGGGUGCGAGCGUUGUCCGGAAUCACUGGGCGUAAAGGGCGCGUAGGCGGCCUGAUAAGUCGGGGGUGAAAUCCUGUGGCUUAACCACAGGGCUGCCUCCGAGACUGUCGGGCUCGAGCACAGUAGAGGCAGGUGGAAUUCCCGGUGUAGCGGUGGAAUGCGUAGAGAUCGGGAAGAACAUCAGUGGCGAAGGCGGUCUGCUGGGCCGUUGCUGACGCUGAGGCGCGACAGCGGUGGGGAGCAAACAGG